GGGCGGAGGAACUCUUGAGAGUCAACGGCUGUAUGUCUUACGGCUGUAUCAUGCGCGGGGACAUAGAAAUAAUCGGACUGAAUACCCGAUCGCGCAGUUAUUCCAUUGGGAGUGAAGGACUCCUAGCAUUUGUUAGGGCAUCCUUCUAGGAGAAGGUAACUCAGGUAACUGGGAUAACUCCGACAUAAAACCUGCGGCUCAGUGGUUACCGAUGAUGUUGACUUGUUCUUCUUUUCGGAUUAUGGCUGUUGUUGCUUAAUGAGUGGGAUUGACUCAGUGCACAGCCUUUUCUCACUUUAAAAAGAAAUCUUCUUGCACAGGCAUUGCACGAUAACAACAUUGAUUAAGCUUCGUGCAAUGGCCAUACUCGAUAACGAGGGGGCAGCCACCAUGUAUGUAUGUAUGUAUGUAUGUAUGUAUGUAUGUAUGUAUGUAUGUAUGUAUGUAUGUAUGUAUGUAUGUAUGUAUGUAUGUAUGUACGUGCGUGUGCGUACUUGCGUGCAUGUAUGUAAGUGUGUAUGUAAGCCACUUCUGAUUGCGUAAAGAAACGAAACACUGUAUCUUUUACCUUUUCCUUGCUUCAAUCAUUAGACUGCGGCCACGCUGGAGCACCGUUUUGGUUAAUUUAUUAUUUAAGUCGAGUGAAUCGACCUCAGUAUUUAAUAUUUCUUAAACCUUGGUACUUUUUCUAUCGGUCUCUUUUACCGAACCUCUAAGUUUCAGUGACAUAAACAGACCAACACCGGUUGUCAGGCAGUGACGGCGAUAAAUACACACAUGUUAUAUAUACACAACGGGCUUCUUUCAGUUUCCGUCUACCAAGUCCACUCAUAAGGCUUUGGUCGGCCCGAGGCUAAAGUGGAAGACGCUUACCCAACAUUCCACGCAGUGUGACUGAACCCGGAACCAUGUGGUUGGGAAACGAGCUUCUUAUCACACAGCCGCACCUGCGUCUAAAUUAAACAUAAUUUACGAAGAUAUUAUUAGUUCAUAGCGUAGACAUUAACUUCUAUUCUUGACAAGAAUAAAAAGAACAACAAGAAAUCAUUUCAAAGCUCAUCACACCACAGCGUCAAAUGUCUGCUUUGUCAUGUGUCAACGGAUCCAGUCAGUCUCUGGAGUAUUUGUUUCUGACAGCAAUCUGCGAAUAUAUGCUGGUUUGCGAUAUACCCAAUCCACAUUAAACUUGUCAAUCCAUAAGAUGUAUGUAUGUAUGAAUGUAUGUAUGAAUGUAUGUAUGUAUGCAUGUAUGUAUGUAUGUAUGUAUGUAUGUAUGUAUGUAUGUAUGUAUGUAUGUAUGUAUGUAUGUAUGUAUGUAUGUAUGUAUGUAUACAUGUAUGCAUGCAUGCAUGUAUGUAUGUAUGUCUGAAUGUAUGUAUGUAUGUAUGUAUGCAUGCAUGCAUGUAUGUAUGUAUGUAUGUAUGUAUGUAUGUAUGUAUGUAUGUAUGUAUGUAUGUAUGCAUGCAUGUAUGUAUGUAUGUAUGUAUAUAUGUAUGUAUGCAUGUAUGUAUGUAUGUAUGUAUGUGUGUAUGUAUGUAUGUAUGUACGUAUGUAUGUAUGUAUGUAUGCAUGCAUGCAUGUAUGUAUGUAUGUCUGAAUGUAUGUAUGUAAGUAUGCAUGUAUGUAUGUAUGUAUGUAUGCAUGCAAUUAUGAAUGUAUGUAUGUAUGUAUGUGUGUGUGUAUGUGUGUAUGUAUGAAAGUAUGUAUCCAUGCAUUCAUUCAUGUAUGCAUGCGCGCACGCGUGUGUAUAUGUGUGUGUGUGUGUGUUAAAUCCUGGAAGGAGUUGUACCAAACUUUGGCAUUGAAAGUUAUACAAACAUCAGAACGGUGCACGACUGCAUAAUUCCAAAGAUCCGAACGUCGCAUUCCAAGACACAAGACGAAAUACUGCAACAGCACACAAACAUGUACACACACACACACACACACACACACACACACACACACACGCACACACACACACAGCACACACACGCACACACAUAAAUGUAUGAGCGUGUGCAUGAAUGUCUGAACAUGCAUGCGUGCAUAUAUUUAUAACUGUGUGUAUGUAUGUGAGUAAGUGUGUGUGUAUGUGUGUGUGUACAUACCCACGUACACACAUGUGUGAUAAAACAUUUACAUCGAAAGCAUAUUCUUCGAAACACAUGGCCAAAGAGCAAAACGAUCGAAAGAGAAAUUGAUCGAAAGUGUACACGUCUGCAUCAAAUGGGAAGACAAAUUCGUAUAAAAGAGAAAAAUCUGAAAUACACUUAACUUGUCAUCUAAUUCAUUUUUAUGAUAAGAACAAAAAAAAGUUUUUUAACGAAAUAUAUUUUCAGUUUUUCUUUUUCUUUUGUGUUUCUUUACUUUUUUUAUAAGGAAGUAAAUGCUUGUAGAGAUACAUUGAAAGUUAAUCUCGUGCAAUCUUUCAAAAGUGUUUUUGUAAUUUUGAAAUGAUAGCAAAUUAUAUAAAAACGAUUUGAAACUAUAUAUAAUUUCUAGUUAUCGUUUUGUAUCUGUGUUUCAGUACUACGAGCGUCUAAUAUGAUAGACAUUCAGUAGUUAUAGUAAUAACACAGCAGGACACACCGUUGACUUAUAAAGCCAAUACUAACUCAGUAGGAUACGCUAUUGACUUAUAAAGCGCUUAAUAUACUUUCUGGUAUAUUAUGGUUGCCAUAACGAAAUACAGGGUUCCUGCAAUUCAUUAAUCGCAAUGAUAAUGAUUUUAAAUAUAGGUAUUUUACCAAAACGUUUAUGGUCAGAGUAGAAUCGCUUAGUUCUACUUCAUAAUUUUAGUAGGGUUUUGAGAAGUGUAGAACCACAUUUUAGUCACGAUUGUUCUCAGGUCUAUUCUGAUCUGGGAUCUUUUCGGUUUGAACGGCAGUUUUUAACAUAAUUUCUAGGUAACUAAAAAAUUUUGAACUUCGUAUACUGGUAAAAUGUGUUUAUAAAACAUCUUUUUGUCUUGGCUUUAUUGAGAAAAUUAUCUUAUAGUUUGUAAGAUAUUUGCUGCUUUUUUUCUUCAAUUUCUGCAAUUUCAACAAUCAAUGACGUCCAUUUGAGGUAAAAAAAAAAACAUUCUGUGCCGUAUGAAUAUGUCCCUCGUUUAAGAAACAGAUUGGAUUUAUUUACAUUUGUGAAGAAAAAAAGAUACCUUCCCCCCAUCCCUAACCCUAACCCUAACCCUAAAACAGAUUGAAAUGCAAUAGAUCGAUACUAGGGUCAUAAUUAUGGGUGACAAUUUCAUAUGCAACCGCUAGAAAAAACUGCCGUUCAAACCGAAAAGAUCCAAUAAUUGAAACUAAAGGGACAUAUCUCAACGCCACGCCAUCUACUGGCAUUGCAUUAACUAUUUCAAAUAUAGAUUCACGACCUAAACAACUCAAUAAGGCAGUAGUAUUUGACUAAUACUAAAAUAGUCGACCUCAAUUAUCUACUAUGUGUCCAGUAUAUCUUUCGCAAAAACUUUAAUGAUUUUCUAAUGCGAAUGGCCAUAUUUUAUAGUUAUCACAAAUAACUUUCUCAACUCGACGUCAGAUUUUGUAAAUUAUACAAAAUCUAUAAAUUUUGAUUUAUAUAUUAACUAUUUCUCAAUUUUAGAGCAUUAAAACAAUAUGACACCAGUAAUUCAAAUAUCAAUAAAUCAUUUUAUUUUUUCUUUGUAUAUAUUUUAAAACUGUUGCUUUAAAAAUGUUCGACUCAAGAGUGGCUGUGUGGUAAGAAGUUUGCUUCCCAACCACAGAUUUCCGGGUUCAGUCCCCUUGCGUGGACCCUUAGGAAACUGUCUUACUAUAGCCUUGGGCUGACCAAAGCCUUGUGAGUGGAUUUGGUAGACGGAAACUGAAAGAAGCCCGUCGUAAAUACAUAUAUAUGUAUGUGUGUGUGUUUGUAUCAAUGUUUGUUCCCCACCACCGCUGGGCAACCGGUGUUGGUGUGUUUGUGUCCUCGUAACUUAGCAGUUCGGCAAAUGAGACAGAUAUAAUAAUUGUUAGGCUUUAAAAUAUGAAUACUGAGAUGAUGAAUUUGAUUAAAUCUUCGUUGUAUGUCAGGUCAUUGACGCCACUAUGAAACAUUUAUUGAUACUGUUUCUGACGAAGUUGGAGGAAAAGGACGGGCUCAUUAUUAUGCUUAAUAGCAUUAAGAUGGUUUAAGACCUUUAUAAACGUAUCCAGCUCCAUUUUGUCUUUUCACUGAUGGAGCAGAUAAAAUAUGACAAUAUUAUUCUCACAAAUACUAGAUGAUCCUCCCCACCAAAAGGAUAAUCCCGAAUAUUCAUUUUGUGGGGAGAGUCACCUGCCAUUUGUCCUCUUUUUGAAAUUCUGGUGGAACCCCUGAUCGGCCUUGAUUGAGCACGAGCUAUGAUCAACAUUGUUCCGACCAUGACCUUCCCUCCAUGUUUCCAGGAAAAGUAUAUCUAGGACUACAUUAUUCAGUCGGCAGCGUGUGAUUUGAGGGAGAUUUGGCUGUAAUUUUCUUACAUAUUAAGUAACAGCUUAUCAAAACUCCCGUCUCCUGUUAAUACUCGAAUUGCUUUUGUAUUUUGCUUUUUUCAUUGAAAUUAUGCCACAAGAUCUGAACAAAAAUUGAAAACGUAUGUUAUUUGAUUAUUUUGAAAUCCCUGCGGAUUGUGUCGUAAAGUUGUAGCUUAUACCUAAAUCUGGAACUUUUUUUUCUAUUACUGUAAUCUUCAGGCAGGAUCUGGAUUGACACUUUGAACCGCAGAUACAGUUUAUCUGAUGAACUGCCACGCAAAUUUCUGUAUUGCGUUGUAUCAUAGUGUGACAAAAAUCAAAAAGGAUAGUACUUUUUAAAUUUAAUUCUUUAGCUGAAUGCUUCUCAAACUAUUUAUCUUUAACGAUCACCCAUUUUCUUUUUCUUUUUAUUUAUUUUUUCUUUUACUUGUUUCAGUCAUUUUGACUGCUUUUGAUCAUCAAUCCCAAUAGUUAAUUUGGUUUUUUUUUUUUUUUUUUUUUUUUUUUUAUGCCUGGUACAUUUUCUAUUGGUGUCUUUUGCCGAUAACACCGGUUAUCAUUAAAGUAGUGAGAGGGGACAGAUUCAAAGACACGCACAAACACACACAUACGACAGGCUUCUUUCAGUUUUCGUAUAUGUAAUCGUAUCACAACGUUUUAGUCGACCCAAGGCUAUAUCAGAAGACACCUACGUUACCAUGUAGUGGGUCUGAACCUGAAACUAAGCGGUUGGGAAGCAAGCUGUCUACAAAACAAUCAUAUCUUAGUAACACUUUUGUAUCUUUUCGGUUUGAACGGCAGUUUUUUUCUAGCGGUGUCAUAUGAAAUUGUCACCCAUAAUUAUGACCCUAGUAUCGAUCUAUUGCAUUUCAAUCUGUUUUAGGGUUAGGAUUAGGGGUGGGGGAAAGGUAUUUUUUUUUCUUCACAAAUGUAAAUAAACCCAAUCUGUUUCUUAACCGAGGGACAUAUUCAUACGGCACAGAAUGUUUUUUUUUUUACCUAAAUGGACGUCAUUGAUUGGUUGAAAUUGCAGAAAUUGAAGAAAAAAGCAACAAAUAUCUUACAAACUAUAGAAUUUUCUCAAUAAAGCCAAGAGAAAAAUAUGUUUUAUAAACACAUUCUACCAGUGUACGAAGUUUAAAAUUUUUUAGUUACCUAGAAAUUAUGUUAAAAACUGCCGUUCAAACCGAAAAGAUCCCACCUACGUUACCAUGAAGUGGGUCUGAACCUGAAAUCAAGUGGUUGGAAAGCAAGCUUUCUACCACACAAUCAUAUCUUAGUAACACUUUUUCAAUGUCACCCACCGCCUAUUUUUAAUGUACUUACACGUAAUAUUAGGAUAAAGCUUAAAGUAGGUGACUACCAACCACAGUCGUCGUCGCCGACGUCGUAAUGCAUCGUACGCUUCGCAGCACGUUAAUGACACAACAAUAAAAGUCUUCCUAAUUGAAAGCGAGUUCUCUCAUCUAAUGAAUCCACAGCGUUACUUCGUUUUGACUUUUUUUAUAGUGUAUAUUUCUUAUCUUUUUUAGCAGUGAUACUGAAGUAGUUUGCCAUUGUCUUUCCUGGCUGAUUGUUGGCCCACGAGUAGCUCAUCUGCCCUUCGGCAGGUCUUGCUUUUUAAUCCCACUGGGUGUCCAAAGACAAACAGGCUUCUGUAGAGAAGUCGGACCGGAUCUUUUCGGUUUAAACGUCAGUUUUUAACAUAAUUUCUAGGUAACUAAAAAAUUUUAAACUUCGUAUACUGGUAGAAUGUGUUUAUAAAACAUCUUUUUCUCUUGGCUUUAUUGAGAAAAUUCUAUAGUUUGUAAAAUAUUUGUUGUUGUUUUUUCUUCAAUUUCAACCAAUCACUGAUGUCUAUUGAAGUAAAAAAAAAACAUUCAGUGCCGUAUAUAUAUAUAUGCGUGUGUGUGUUUGUGUGUCUGUGUUUGUCCCCCUAGCAUUGCUUGACAACCGAUGCUGGUGUGUUUAUGUUCACUUUACUUAGCGGUUCGGCAAAGACACACACAAGUUUCUGGGAAUUAUACAAGGCAGAUUUAUGAUAAUUCAAUCGAUAGAGCUAACUGUUAUAAUACUGCAGUUUAUUGUAUCGAUUCAAUAGUUAUAUGAAGUUAAUUGCAACAGUAUGAUUUGAACCCGUGGACGAAAGCAAAUUUAGUUUAACGAUUUAUAGUUUCAGUAACUCUUCACUAGUAGCUGCACUUAUGUUAUUGGUUAAAUGCAAAUGUGUUGGCUAUAACUCAACAUCAGAAAACACUCGCACAUGCACACAUGCAGUCUCUCUUACUCUGUCUGUCUGUCUGUCUCGCUUUCUCUCUCUCUCUCUCUCUCUCUCUCUCUCUCUCUCUCUCUCACACUCUCUAGUUUUUAUCUUUUUUAACGCGGCCAUACUGGGGUACCAAAUCGAAAAGUUCAGUCGACACUGGUAUUUAUUUUUUGGCCGGUGUAAGUACCGGAAGUACCGCAUAUAUUUCAAAAAAGUGUUGUUUUUUUUAAUAUAUGGGGUGGGGGUUAGAGUUAGGGUUAGGGGUGGGAGAAAAGGGUUUCUGUUAUCUUCAGAAAUGUAAACAAAGUCACGUGUGUACCUAUACCUAUUUCUUUAUUAACCACAAGGGGCUAAACACAGAGGACAAACAAGGACAGACACAGGUAUUAAGUCGAUUGCAUCGACCCCAGUGCGUAACUGGUACUUAAUUUAUCGACCCCGAAAGGAUGAAAGGCAAAGUCGACCUCGGCGGAAUUUGAACUCUCAACGUAACGCAGACGAAAUACCUAUUUCUUUAUUACCCACAAGGGGCUAAACAUAGAGGAGACAAACAAGGACAGACAUAGGUAUUAAGUCGAUUAUAUCGACCCCAGUGCUUAACUGGUACUUAAUUUAUCGACCCCGAAAGGAUGAAAGGCGGAAUUUGAACUCACAACGUAACGGCAGCCGAAAUACCGCUGAGCAUUUCGCCCGACGUGCUAACGAUUCUGCUAGCUCGCCGCCUUGUUUCAGAAAAGGGUUUCUGUUAUCUUCAGAAAUGUAAACAAAGUCACGUGUGUACCUAUACCGAAGCAUCGCCUUAUUUUUUUAAAACUUGUUACUUAUUAUAUAAAACUCUUACUGUCGAAGCGUGGUGGUGGAUAAACACAAAGACACACACACACACACACACGCGCGCGCGCGCGCCCCCCACACACAUGUACACACAUACACCUGCGCGCACACACACACGUAUGCAUGUUUGUAUGUACCUGUGUAUGUGUGUGUGUGUGUGUGUUUGUGUGUGUGUGUGUGUGUGUUCGACUCGCUUCUUUCAAGUUCCAUCUACCAAAUCCAUCCACAAGGCAUUGAUUAGCCUGGAGCUAAAGAAGAAGAGGACGCUUGCCAAAGGUGCCACGCAGUGGACUCGGAACCCGGAAUUAUUGUGGAAGUGAAGCAAACUUCUUAUCAUGUUUUUAAUUUUUAUUUUAAUUUUUAUUUUACUUUCUAUUAAUAAUUUCUUUGCUGUCAUGGAUUUAGGAAAAAAGAUAUCGACCACAAUACUUAUGUUAGUCUGGUACUUACUUAAUCAAUCAACAAUAUCGAACUGCUUACUAAAAACGCUUUUUGAUUGAUCCAGCACCAGCUUUACAUGUAAACACGUACACAUGUCAACAACAACAACAACAACACACACACACACACACAUAUAUAUAUAUAUAUAUAUAUAUAUGUGUGUGUGUGUGUGUGUGUGUGUGUGUGUGUGUGUGUGUGUGUGUGUGUGUGUGUAUGUAUAUAUAUACUUUUUACUUCCUGGUGCAGGAGUAGCUUGCUUACCAACCACAUGGUUCCGGGUUCAGUCCCACUGCGUGGCAUCUUGGGCAAGUGUCUUCUACUAUAGCCUCGGGCCGACCAAUGCCUUGUGAGUGGAUUUUGUAGACGGAAACUGAAAGAAGCCCGUCGUAUAUAUAUGUAUACAUCAAGAUGUAGGACAAGAUUCUGUGAUAGCCUGGGCUUCCGAGGCCCACAGCUCUUCAAUAUCCUCCCGAUGAACCUGAGAGACCUGCAUGGGGUGGAUACAGAUGUCUUUAAAAUGGAGCUGGAUCUCUUCCUGUCAGGUGUCCCAGAUGAACCAACUUCACGGCAGGAGGGGCAGAUGAAGGCAGCUGCAUCGAACUCUCUCAUGCACCAAAUAGCAGUUGCUAGAAAGCCUCCAUGAAGUGAAACCAAGUAGCAACACCAAAUGGCGGUGCCCCAGCAUGGCCACAGCUCAUAAGCUGAAACUGGAAUCAAUCAAUCAAUCAAUCAAUCAUAUAUAUAUAUAUAUAUAUAUGUGUGUGUGUGUGUGUGUGUGUAUGUAUGUUUGUGUCUGUGUUUGUCCCCCUAGCAUUGCUUGACAACCGAUGCUGGUGUGUUUACGUCCCCGUCACUUAGCGGUUCGGCAAAAAAGACCGAUAGAAUAAGUACUCGGUUUACAAAGAAUAAGUCCCGGGGUCGAUUUGCUCGACUAAAGGUGGUGCUCCAGCAUGGCCGCAGUCAAAUGACUGAAACAAGUAAAAGAGUAAAGAGUAUUAUUUAACACACUCACCAGUUCGAUUUCCACUCAUUUAAUUUAUUUCUUCUAAAAAUUUUUUCGUUGCGUCUUGAAACCUUUUCAAGACUCGUCAAAUCCUUUUACAGCUGUUUCUGGGAUAUAAAAAAGAUAUAAAAAUAAAGAGAUAUUUUGGAUGUUAAGCUUGCUGUUAACAUCCAACAUAUAUCUUUAUCGUUAUUGUUAUUCUUAUAUUUCUCUUUAUACUUCCUAUAUCCCUCCCUUUACAAAAUAACUUCUUAUAUUGAACUCUACUAUUUCCUUCUAUUUCCGUCUCUGGUGAUGGGAUAUCCUUUAUAACCCUGAAACAGCUGUAAGGCUACCCUUCUCUUUAUAAAAUGUCCUAGAAAUUUCACACUGCCUUGGCUUUGUUGCUUCAUAUUAUUUAACCUAUGUAUCUACACAUACAUACAUACAUAUAUAUAUAUAUAUUGGAAAUGUAAAUUUUAAUUGAAUGUUUUUAAUUUUAAUUAAUUUCCAUUUCCCUUGAUAUAUAUAUAUAUAUAUAUAUAUAUAUAUAUAUAUAUAUAUAUAUAUAUAUACAUAUAUAUAUAUAUGUAUAUGCGCGUUUGUGUGUGUGUGUAUACAUACAUGCAUACGUACAUAUAUAUAUACAUUCGAAACGUAAAAGACUUGUUCUAUUUCUAUUCCUGAGCGCCAUACUAAUACAUUUGUUUGUUUGUACUCCACCUGCCUUCGUCUUUUGUUUAUUUUCGUAAACCUUCCCGUUACAUUUGUAUAUAUAUAUGCAACUUCCUAACAACGUGGUUCCGGGUGUAGUCCCAUUGCAUGGCACCUUGGGUUUCUUCUGCUAUAGACUCGAGCCGAUUGAAGCCAUGUGAGUGGAUUUGGUAGGCGGCAACUGAAAGAACCCCGUUAUAUGAGAAUGUGGGUAGGUGGGAGUGGGUGAGAAUGGGGGGGGGGGUAUUUGUGUCUGUGAUCGUUUCCCACCACCGCUUGACAACCGGCGUUGGUAUGUUUACGUCUCCGUAAUCAAGCGGUUAAGCGAAAGGAGCCAAUAGAAUAAGUAUCAGGGUUAAGAAAAAAAGUACUGGGGUCGAUUCAUUCGAUUAAAAAUUGUUCAAGGCGGUGCCCCAGCAUGGUCGGAGUUUAAUGACUGAAACGCUGAAAUGAAAAACAGAUAAAAAAGAUAUGUCCUAUCUAUCUAUCUAUCAAUCUAUUUUCUUUUUAAUUUUUUUUUUUUUUAUUUAUUGUUCAAUUUCGACGAGCUGGCAGAAACGUUAGCACGCCGGGCGAAAUGCGUAGUCGUAUAUCGUCUGCCGUUACGUUCUGAGUUCAAAUUCCGCCGAGGUUGACUUUGCCUUUCAUCCUUCCGGGGUCGAUAAAUUAAGUACCAGUUAUGCACUGGGGUCGAUGUAAACGACUUAAUCCGUUUGUCUGUCCUUGUUUGUCCCCUCUAUGUUUAACCCUUUGUGGGUAGUAAAGAAAUCUAUCUAUCUAUCUAUCUACACACACACACACACACACACAUAUAUAUAUAUAUAUAUAUAUAUAUAUAUAUAUAUAUAUAUAUAUAUAUGUAUAUCUACACACACACGCAUACACACACACGCACACACAAACACACACACGCGAACACACACAUACAUGUAUGUUUGCAACGGGCAGUUUUCUUCUAUCAACUUUCAUUCACAGUGCAUAACUCAAGCAUUUGAUAUCAGAUACUUGUCUAAAAUCACUAUCGUAGCUAUGAAGAAGGGGUAUAAGGGUCGGGUGUACUCCGCCCUGGGCGAUGCUUUUAUGGAACCGGUAAUUUUGGGUCUGCUUUAUAAUCCUGGGUUUGAACGGCAGUUUUUUCUCGCGGUGUCAUAUGAAAUUGUCACCCAUAAUUAUGACCCUAGUAUCGAUCUAUUGCAUUUCAAUCUGUUUUAGGGCUAGGGUUGGUUGAGGUGGGAGGAAGGGUAUCUUUUUUUCUUCACAAAUGUAAAUAAACCCAAUCUGUUUCUUAAACGAGGGACAUAUUCAUACGGCACAGAAUGUUUUUUUUUUUGCCUCAAUAUACGGUCAUUGAUUGGUUGAAAUUGCAGAAAUUGAAGAAAAAAAAACAACAAAUACCUUACAAACUAUAGAAUUUUCUCAAUAAAGCCAAGAGAAAAAGAUGUUUUAUAAACACAUUCUACCAGUAUACGAAGUUUAAAAUUUUUUAGUUACCUAGAAAUUAUGUUAAAAACUGCCGUUCAAACCGAAAAGAUCCUAAUCCUGUUUAGAGUUGCCAGGGUGGGUGCGAUAAACUCAAAGGCAGCCCCGCCCGGAACUCACGCUGUACGUACCCGACUAUCAACAAAAUAACGAACAGUGGAAUCAAACUCGGACCCACAUGUUAGGCGAAUGGAAUUUCCGUCCCCUACACACUCAUACCCAUGCAUUAUUUUAAUUUAAUUUGAUGAAUAUCUAAGUUGAACAAAGUUGGUGUUAGUUAGAUUCGAACUCACAAACCAGAAGCGCCUGUCUCUUGAUACCGCAAAGCAUUACACGUCUUCGCUGUCUGCCGUCGAUGUAACCACCACACACACACACACACACACACACAGACACACACACACAAACACACACACACACGUGCGCGCGCAUUUGCUCUUAUUUAUCUUAGAAUAACGACUUAUAUUUCCUUGAUGCUGUGGUGUUUACUCUGUUUACUCUCUUUUACUUAUUUCAGUCAUUUGACUGCGGCCAUGCUGGAGCACCGCCUUUAAUCGAGCAACUCGACCCCGGGACUUAUUCUUUUGUAAGCUCAGUACUUAUUCUAUCGGUCUCUUUUGCCGAACCGCUAAGUGACGGGGACAUAAACACACCAGCAUCGGUUGUCAAGCAAUGCUAGGGGGACAAACACAGAUACACAAACACAGACACAUACAUUUCAUUUUCAUUUCAUUUGGGUUUGAGUCCAUGCUCAGGCCAAGUCGAAGACUCCACCCUCAGAGUCUGGUGUGGUUGCCAGGUUGUAUUCUCUGCUUAAAUUUGACAUGUGUAGGAGCGAGUUUGAGUCAGUUUGUGCUCGUUGUGUAUAUCCUGAUAUAUACAUAUAUACGACGGGCUUCUUUCAGUUUCGUCUACCAAAUCCACUCACAAGGCUUUGGUCGGCCCGAGGCUAUAGUAGAAGACACCUGCCCAAGGUGCCACGCAGUGGGACUGAACCCGGAACCAUGUGAUUGGUAAACAAGCUACUUACCACACAGCCACUCUUGCGUUUAUGGUACUUUUGUUUAGUCGCUUAGCCCAAGAUCAGUCCUGAUCGAGCAAGCUUACGAUAAAACGAAUUCCAGCCGUGACCAUUCCGUUUUCAAUUAUUUAUUUAUUUAUUUAUUAUUAUUAUUAUGCCGGACAUGCACUCUGGACCACUUUAAUCAAAGUGUUCAGAAUUUUAAGAUAGUUAAAACUUGAUUCGAAGGAUAUUAAGCUACUGUUUCUAACAUAUCAAUCGGCCCCAUAAAGUCUCUCGCUUCGUCUCAUGAAAUUCCUGUUAUUG
rnacentral:lncRNA from 1 species